rnacentral:rRNA from 1 species
UACGUAGGGUGCAAGCGUUGUCCGGAAUUAUUGGGCGUAAAGAGCUCGUAGGCGGUCUGUCGCGUCUGCUGUGAAAACUCGGGGCUUAACCCCGGGCCUGCAGUGGGUACGGGCAGACUAGAGUGCGGUAGGGGAGACUGGAAUUCCUGGUGUAGCGGUGAAAUGCGCAGAUAUCAGGAGGAACACCGGUGGCGAAGGCGGGUCUCUGGGCCGUAACUGGCGCUGAGGAGCGAAAGCAUGGGGAGCGAACAGG